AUGUUCAACAGGAAUCUGUGUGUGUGGUCUCACCUGGUGUCCACACUAAAUAGCUGCAGAGUACUUUAUACUCAAAAACAUGCACAGACACAUGAGGACAAACAAUAUAGCGUAGUUAUAGAAAUAAUGAAGUGUCUUACUAUUCUCCAUGGUUGGCCCUCUUGCCUAUUCUUUGAAGGUGGAAGGCGCCUUUUGAUGAAUGGAAAUAGACAUCUGUGUAAUGACAUUUGGCGAUUGCCGUUGAUUAGGCCUACAUUAAGUGAUGCGUCUUGCUGACAGAUUGACCUUUUUUUUUACACCUGAAACAGGGCUGAAACUGUGUGUGUAGGCCUAUUACCAUGAACUUCGAAUAGGCCCACCGGUAGCCAGUGAUAGAUUGGGACAAAAUUAGGUGGGUAAAGUCUGAUUGCCGGUUGCGGUGAAAAAAGGAACGCACCCUAUACUUUCAAUGCAUUUUUCUGAAAAAGGUGGGUAAACAGCGUUUACCCUCUACUAUGCCUACACCACUGCCUCUCAGCUGAGGCAAUUUUACACACAUACAGAACAGGUAGCCUACAUUCAACAUAAUACAGGAGUUGAAUCCAAACAUGUUUACAGCCUAGCCCAUGAGUUGUCCAUAAUUCAUGAGUUGAAUGCUUUUUUAUAUGUCUGUUUAUUCAUCAUCGUAAACAAAUUCUUAUUUACAAUGACAGCCUAGCCCAGCCAAACCCUAAACCAGACGACACUGGGCCAAUUGUGCACCUUCCAAUCGCAGCCGGUUGUGAUACAGCCCAGGAUCGAACCAGGGUCUGUAGUGAUGCCUCUAGCACUGAGAUGCAGUGCCUUAGACCACUGCGCUACUCGGGAGCCCUCGGGAGUCUUCACAGAUCCUGUGACAUAAAACACUGCCUUUCGUCCAUUACAUGAAUUACAUUUAUGACAGUCUUAUUUGUAAUUAUUAAGCAUUUAACAAUUGAAUUACAACAUUGCACUUAAACCCUGUACAAUUCCUGGAUCUUGGAGAUCUCAGAAAAUGCACUGUAAGUAUAACUAUGUCAACAUAACAUUUCAUUUUGUUUCACCGUGAAAUCUGUUCUCACGGAAACACAAAUCCAAAAUAAUGUAGGCCUUUUGCUGGAUCGAAUCCCCGAGCUGACAAGGUCAAAAUCUGUGGUUCUGCCCCUGAGCACGGCAGUUAACCCACUGUUCCCCGGGCGCCAAAGACGUGUUGGUCGAUUAGGGCAGCCCCCCGCACCUCUCUGAUUCAGAGGGGUUGGGUUAAAUGCGGAAGACACAUUUCAGUUGAAUACAUUCAGUUGGACAACUGACUAGGUAUCCCCCUUUCCCUUUCCCUAUGCCAUUGCAAAAUGAAAUGCUUCUAACCGAAAUAGUAAACUAUAGGCCUACUGUUAUGGAUUGGAUGCGCAUUGAUUGGUGUCUUGCUGUAGGCUAGUUGUCUAGUGAUAUUGGCGACCAUCAUCAGCUGAUCCAGGAAAGAAAACAAACAUUGAUAGAAAAUAAUAAAGCCAAAUAAAUGGUCAACUUCUUCUGGCCACGGAGAACACCAGUACCAGCAUGCACCUGAAAAACAAAGCAAUGAGCGCUUUAAACAGCUGACUAACAAAAAGCAAACCAUGAUAAAUCAAAGCAAAAAUGAGCAAGUACAAAGGAAAAUCGAUGCGUAAAGGAGCUCAGCUGAGGUCUAAUUCAGCACUACUGAGUGGACAGCGCUGCGGACAGGGAGACAGUUUGUGUAGCCACAUAGAAAUAAAGGAAUGGUUUAAACCAUGACAGAGUGGUGGGGGUGUUUGUUUCAUUCAUUUCAUUUUCAUAUUUACCACUGUAAAACAUAUUUACCACUGCAUUUUAAACAAAUAGGAGAAUGGUUAAAUUAGCAUUAUUUAGACACCCCAAAAGUUUGACUUUUGUUACAUUUAGGGGAGCUAAUGUCUCAUUCAGGGGAACUGAGCCCCCCCCGGCUCCCCCAUAAUUCUCACCCUGGCCAUGCUAACAAUGCUAUAUACUAAGACAAGAACACAAUCCCUUCCAUAAGCAUAUGUGCCAGACUGUUUCUGCAUUCAGCAAUGUUACAUCAUUGCUUUGGCAAGAUAGCAACAAGAUGGCUAAAGCAGACUGGCAUUCAGGCUACCUGUCUAAAUCACCUUUCGCCUGUCAGAAGGGGCUGGCAGUUUUCAAGGGGGUCCCUGAUGUUGCUUAACACCAAUGAUUGUGAUUCCUAGAUUCUGGAGGAGCCCACAGACUAAGAGACAGCCCUCUACAAUUCCAUAAUGCCCAACGCAGGUGCUCCCCAAGGUCAACCAGGAAGUAAAUCUAGCACAGGACAUGGUAAAAUAUCCAUAGUAUGCUCACUCUUACCUCUCUACGUCUACAUACCUGUUAAAUAUACUUUAACCUUAUUUUCUCCUUUACUUUUCAGGAGCUGUCUGAGCUGACGGUAUGAAGUCUGAGGACAUUUUUCAAAAGCAUAUUUCUUUCUUUCCUGGAGUAUUGAUUUGUAUGUGAAUGGAUAGGUUGAAUGGAUAAUGUUUAACUGACCGUGUGCUAUCUGUCUAUCCUAAAUCAUCAUAUGAGAUUGGGAUUGUUUGCCAGUUCCCCUUCUCGUCAGCUCUACAGAGGACGACUGUGGUGGUCCGGUGGCUGGGGAGAAGGGCAUGGACACCUACCUCAAGGGGGCGCCAGAGGUUGUGGCCAGCCUCUGCAGAGAGGACACAUAUUAGUGAGACCCUUAUCUUACCAACUCUUACCAGGGAGCAGCUUGCCAGAACAUGUACUUCUAUUCCAGUACCCAACCUGUAUGUGGACUGUCAAGACAGGCUUUGGAAACACUUAAAAUGAUAUAGACAUUAUUUCAGGGUAACUGACUGUAACCCAUAUUUACUCUUCUUUUUUCUUCUUUUAGUAUCGGAGAGCUUUACCGAGACACUGGAGUCUGGGGUUCAGAGUCAUAACCCUGGCCCAUUGCCAGCUGGAGGCCAAACUCAGAAUGGGCCGAAUACUGUAAGUGGCAAUUUUGCAGGAGCAAGUUGACUUUGAAAAGGUAAAAGAGGAGACUUGACUUCCAGGAUCUGGUGUAAGUAAACAUUUUUUUUUAUACAGAGCUUUGGGAAACAAGUGUUCACGUGAAAAUGCAGCGACUAAUAAGCAGCAGAGGCUAAAAAAGCCAAGGCCACUAGCGUUGUGUAGUAAAACAUGGCUAAAAGGCAUGGCUCAAAGGCCAAGUCUCAAGAUGAUAUAGUCAUUCUGAAUUCCGAAUGCAUGCAUCGUUACAGACGUUGGUUGAUAUGAAACUGAUACAACUUCCAAUUGAACAACGAGAACAGUGAGACAUUGGCUACUUUUGGGUACAGAGUGAAAUUCAGCAGUUUAGUUCAAGAUUGGAUUGUCAGUUCCUGAAGCCUAGAAUUCUGUGUACUGACAUCUGAUACAAAGAUACAUGGAAAACACUUGUGGACUUUUGAUGAUUAUAAGCAGGAACAUGUGAGGACGUGGUCGUCGUCGAUCUUGUUCGUCUGGAUCGGCCCACACAAUGCAAUGUGCCGAACCAAUCACAGUAAUGAGAACUAUCUUAUUUCCUGUUGGAAGAUUCAAGACAUUUGUAACCUUGAGUUAGCUAGAUUCCUUUUACCUAGGAUACUUUUUUGUUGUUGUUGUAUUGUCUGUUUUCUAUUCCUGUCAUGGAUCUCAUAGAGACCAAUAUGGAGUUCCUUGGGCUCAUAAUCAUGCCAAACAAGCUGAAGGAAGAGACCGCCAGGGUUUUAAAAAGACGUACGACGUGCAAACAUUCCCACUGUGAUGGUUACUGGUGAGUAAGGCAAUCUUAUACACAGUCUUCCCUCACAGUAAAAACAUGUUGAGGUUGAUGUACUGUAGCAUGUGCCAAUGUUACCAUACAUCCACCAGCGCUUUAGACUCUGAAGUAACCACCAGUACUGCAACUGCUAUUAUGUCAUUUGGGAUUACUAAACUAGCUAUGACUAACUCUGGUAACAAUGAAAAUGUAUAGCAUCUUGUUAUUCCCUCUCUCGGCCAGGAGGUGAUAAUAUGCUAUAAACCGUAUCAGUAGCCAGAGACUGUGGGAUGAUAGCACCUCAUGAGAGGGUCAUCAUAGCAGACGCCACACCUCCCAAAGACAUCCAGCCUUCUCGGAUCCAUUGGCACUAUACAGAGAACCACUCCCCCAGCAUGGACAACCACGUUGAGGUGACAGAAAAAUAGCAUUGUAGAUUGAUAUUCAAUUAUUCUAUGAAGACAUGAUCUGAGUUUAUUAAGCAAGUCUCCCUUGGAAACAA
rnacentral:lncRNA from 8 species